rnacentral:rRNA from 1 species
CAAUUUGAAUUGUUAAACGGAGGAAAAGAAACCAACAGGGAUUGCCCUAGUAACGGCGAGUGAAGCGGCAACAGCUCAAAUUUGAAAGCUGGCUCCGGCCCGCAUUGUAAUUUGCAGAGGAUGCUUCUGGUGAGGUGCCUUCCGAGUUCCCUGGAACGGGACGCCAUAGAGGGUGAGAGCCCCGUAUGGAUGGACACCAAGCCUGUGUGAAGCUCCUUCAACGAGUCGAGUAGUUUGGGAAUGCUGCUCUAAAUGGGAGGUAAAUCUCUUCUAAAGCUAAAUACCGGCCAGAGACCGAUAGCGCACAAGUAGAGUGAUCGAAAGAUGAAAAGCACCUUGAAAAGGGGGUUAAACAGUACGUGAAAUUGUUGAAAGGGAAGCGCUUGUGACCAGACUUGCGCCGGGCAGCUCAUCAGGGGUUCUCCCCUGUGCACUCUGCCCGGCUCAGGCCAGCAUCGGUUCUCGUGGGAGGAUAAGAACGGUAGGAACGUGGCCCCCUUCCGGGGGGGUGUUAUAGCCUACCGUACGAUACUCCCGUGGGGACCGAGGUUCGCGCUCCGCAAGGAUGCUGGCGUAAUGGUCAUCAGCGACCCGUCUGAAACGACCCCCAAAGG